rnacentral:rRNA from 1 species
UACGUAGGGUGCGAGCGUUGUCCGGAAUUAUUGGGCGUAAAGAGCUUGUAGGCGGUUUGUCGCGUCUGCCGUGAAAUUUCGGGGCUCAACCCCGAACUUGCGGUGGGUACGGGCAGACUAGAGUGUGGUAGGGGAGACUGGAAUUCCUGGUGUAGCGGUGAAAUGCGCAGAUAUCAGGAGGAACACCGAUGGCGAAGGCAGCUCGCUGGGACGUGACUGACGCUGAGACGCGAAAGCGUGGGGAGCAAACAGG